UACAGAGGGGGCAAGCGUUGUUCGGAAUUACUGGGCGUAAAGGGCGCGUAGGUGGCCUUCUAAGUUGAACGUGAAAUCCCUGGGCUCAACCCAGGAACUGCGUCCAAGACUGGGAGGCUUGAAUCCGGGAGAGGGAUGCGGAAUUCCAGGUGUAGCGGUGAAAUGCGUAGAUAUCUGGAGGAACACCGGUGGCGAAGGCGGCAUCCUGGACCGGGAUUGACACUGAGGCGCGAAAGCCAGGGAGCAAACGGGAGU
rnacentral:rRNA from 1 species